ACACGCAUGACACACUGCAUAUCAAUAAGCGGAGGAAAAGAAACUAACAAGGAUUCCCCUAGUAACGGCGAGUGAAGCGGGAAGAGCUCAAAUUUGAAAUCUUAAAGGGUUUCCCCUUACGAAUUGUAGUUUAAAGAAGUGUUUUCUGUUGGAGUUUCGGUAAAAGUUCUUUGGAAUAGGACAUCAUAGAGGGUGAGAAUCCCGUAUUUGACCGUUACUUUCCAGCUGUGUGAUACACUUUCAAAGAGUCGGAUUGUUUGGGAAUGCAGUCCAAAAUGGGUGGUAAAUUUCAUCUAAAGCUAAAUAUUGGCGAGAGACCGAUAGCGAACAAGUACCGUGAGGGAAAGAUGAAAAGAACUUUGAAAAGAGAGUUAAACAGUACGUGAAAUUGUCAAAAGGGAAGCGUUUGACACCAGUGUUGUUUAGUUGAAAAUCAAUUCAAUAGUUUUUGAUUCUAAGUAGUAUUGACUUCAUCAGCUUGCUGCUUUCUUUUCAGGAAAUUAUUGAAUGCACUUUUCAGUUAACAAGUCAACAUCAAUUUCUUUUGUUGUAAAAGGGUAAUAGGAAGGUGGCUUACUCUUCGGCGUAAAGUGUUUAUAGCCUUUGAUCCUCUGCAAUCGGAGAGAUUGAGGUCAGCAGCGUAGACUCCUUCGGGGUUAGAUACACUUGUGCUAAGCUAUAGCCUUGUAUAGACAACUUGUUGACUAUGCUCAGUCAUGUAGGCUUACUCGCUAUUGCUAUUUUACCUACGCUUAGGAUGUUAAGCGCAUGUCUCUCUCU
rnacentral:rRNA from 1 species